ACAAUAACAUAUUGUAAUAAUAAAUUUGCGCAAUUUAUUGUUAAAAUCAUACAAAGCAUAAUAUGUUCUUUUCUAAACAGUAAUAUUUUAGUUAGAAGAAUUACAAAUUAUGAUUUUUCUUUUCAUUAUAAUUCUUCGUAAUUUAUAUUUUAAAAAAUUUAGUGUACGGAAAUGGAAGAUGAAUUGAUGCCGCGUGACUAUUAACAAAUUCAUAUGGACGUACUAGUAUGCACUGGUAUAGUCCAAUUGAAUUCAAUUCUACGCUUAUGCGAGAAACGACCCAUAAUUUGGUUUAUGUCGCAACUUAGUUAUAUGGAGGUGGUACGGAUAUAUAUUACAUUGGAAUCGAGUCUCUGUGUAGAAUGGCAUAUCGACACGAUCCAGUCAAGGUCUGGACUAGAAGUGUAUUUCUUGCAUUCGUUUGACCAGUUUUUACUAUUUAAAAUGUUACCGUUAAUUAUACAUUUAUACGUCAUUCUAUUAAUCUUUGUGACAAAAAUAAUACAUGGCCAGUCGUUGUGUUCUUGUAAUCAAACGGAUUUAGAUUUUGCGACCGGUGUUAAUCUGCUUUAUUACAAAUGUAAUGGUGAAAUUCCUGCAACAAUCGCCUAUCCUAUCACAGUGCCACAAACGUUGUUGAACGUAUUGGACGACAAUCAACGAAUAAUCUUUUACGUUUAUGGAUAUUUGCAAUUUCCGGAGGAUAAAAAUGUUCUGUUAAUGGUGGAAGCGCUUUGUCACGGGAGAACGGAUAACGUUGUGCUACUCGAUUGGAGUAAAUACUCGAUGAAUGGCUCUUACGCGUCCGUUUUCAGAAAUGCUGAAAAAGUAGGGAGUUUAUUCGCACAAAGUAUACGACUGCUUGUGGAUAGCGGCUUGGACGUGUCAAAAAUUUAUAUUAUCGGCCACUCCCUGGGUGCUCAUAUAGCUGGCUUCGUGGGUAAAUGCAAUUCCUUCAAGAUAUCUCGCAUAACAGCAUUGGAUCCUGCAAAUCCUAUUUUUUAUUUUCCCGGAUGUUACCUUACACAUAAUGAUGCAAUGUGGGUCGAUGUUAUUCAUACAGACAUAGGUGGCUAUGGUACACUAACAUCUGUAGGAACUGCGGACUAUUAUGUGAAUGGUGGAACUCGUCCUCAACCUGGUUGCAAAUUACUUGGCUUACCAUUAAGCGAUAUCUCUGUAGUCAUCAAAAAUCAGUCGUGCUAUAUGCAAAAUUGAAACUUCAUCCUAUGAAAUUUGAAGCAAAGGAGUGUCCUUCCUUUUUUCGCUAUAUAUUAAAUGAUUGUUAUAAAGUUUGGCAAAUCGAUAUUGGAUAUGCAGCAGCAAACAUACGUGGAUCAUUUUACUUUCGUGUAAAUACAAUAUAGUACAAUAUAGUACAGUUAUUUAUUACAUUAAAGAAGGUUUGUAGAAAGUUUAACAAUACGCUAAUUAUUAAUAAUAAACUUUCUUAAAUUUUUAAUAGUAUCAAUAACAAAAAAGAUAAAAAAUUUUAAAAAUUAGAUAAUAAAUAAAAAAUAGUCAAAUAGAGUGUGAUGUAAUUUGCGAAAUCUAUGAGACUCUAUAUAUUUAGAAUGUAUAUUACAAUUUUAUUAGAAGAACUGUGAAUAUAUAAUAUUGCGACUAUUUUUCUCAUAUGCUGUUUGAUAAUUUUAAUAAAUUUAAUUAAUUUAAUUUUUUCUUUAGUAUAAUGUCAAUCAAUUUUCGUCAUCUUCAUGAAUUUGUUUUAUAUAACUACCUCAUAAAAUCUAAAGUUGCCCACUUAUUAAAAAAAAGACUAUUAACACAAAAGUAAAUUGUUUUCUGUUUAAUGGAAAUACAUGCAUGCAUUAUAUAAAAUAAUAUUAUGUUAGCAAAUGUGAUCGUAUUAUUAUGCAAAACGUUAAAUAAAUUAUUUUAAUUAUAUAUUCUACAGAUUAAUUAAAAUCAGAAGUUCUUGUGAAAUUAUAUCAAAGUUCACUAUAGCUUGAGGGCAAAUCCAGCAAAACGUUAAUAUCGAAUAGAGUUUGCACGCUUAGCAUUGCAAUUAUGCGUGCAUGUAAUACGCAUUCCGAUUACUCUAUUAACAGUACCUUGCACAGCUUAGCUAAUAUUGAUUUUUAUUACUAAACAGGUUUAUUUUUUGUUUUGUCAUGUGUCAAUAUUAAGUAGAUUGCGUAGCAAUUAUCAUAAAUUAAAGUAAGCUUAAGGUUUUCAAUGUAUAUUUGAUAUUACUAUUAACAUUUCUAAAAAAUCAAGAUUUUUAACAUUUGACAUAUCAUAUUUUUAAAAAGUAUCUAUUUGUGAUACUAUAUUAAACAGAAUAUAUGAAGUAUGCAACAAUAGAACAUCAAAGAAAUAUAAAAAACCAUAAAUAAAAGAGAGCUUGUAGUUUUAUUGUCAAAUCUGUUAUUAUUAAUAUUAAAUUUGUUUUGAAUGAGUAAAAUUAUUCAUAAAAACGAGUAAAUUUUAAUCAAAUUGGUGAAUAAUAAGAAAAAUAUAAUAAAGAGAAGAAUGCUAAUUUGGUCCAAUUGUGUAAAAGAUAUCAACGGAAAGUAUGGGCGUAUUGAUAAGUGACAUUAUUUAUAUUAAUACGAUUACAAACUAUUAUCUUUUAUGAGAAAAAAAUUACUCAAGUUUACAUUAACCUCUUAAUUUAAUAGCUUAAUUUUGUGCUAGAUUGUGUAAAAUAAGAACUAAAUAUCUGCGUUAACAUACUUGUUCUUUUUUUGGACAGGAUUUUUUGCUAGUUUUUAUCUAUAAUUUUCAAAGAACAAUCUGUAUAUUUUUUUAAUAAAAAAAAAUGAUAGCACA